AAUGAAAAAAAUUUUAGUAGAUAGAACUGCACUGUUCUCUAAUAAUCCAGAAGAAGGUUUUAAACAACGUAAAACAGUUAUCAUUAAUUGGGGGGUAAAAAUCUAGCUGAUAUAAUUAAAAAUAUUUUGCUCUUACUGCCAACAGACACUAUUUUGUCAGAAUACAGCAUGAAUUGUCUAAAGAAGAAAAAAAAGUUUAAAGAGUUGACAAGUCUAUGUUACGCUGUCACUGAAGCUGCUUUAAAGUCAAAUAAAAACUUAAUCAAAAUUGAUACCAUCCAACUUAUUGGAAAAGUAAUUAGGCAUUCUUCUGACCGAAUAAAGAGAACAUCCACUAAUAUGGAUUUCGAUCAAUGAUGGCUUAACUGUUGUA
rnacentral:lncRNA from 1 species